ACUGCUUCAUGACAAGAGGUUCCAUGCUGACAGCAUCUGGGGAAACCUCGCUGGGCCUCGGAGGUCCUUCCUAUGGGUGAUAUGCCACCCACCCUGGGUCGAGAGUCAGAGAAGCGCGGCCGGUCCCACUGCUGGCUUCGCCUGCCUGUUUCCCACAGCUUCCCUCUAGUCAUCCACCUACACCUGCUGCCCAGUUCCCUAGAAACCUGCCUAGUGUAAAAGGAAGCAACUCUGGAGAACAGAAUGAGAAAUCAGAAAGCAAGGCCCUGUCCUCUGAGUUCUGUCCUGGAUGGGGACUGAGGAAGUUUUAUGUGGUCCAGAGAGGCUGCAUCAGUCUCAGGCCCCUAAGCCUUGCCUGGUUCAACAGUAUUAUUUCACUCACGCUGGUCACCCCAUUGUUAGAAAGAGCAAGGAAAGGAGGAUGAGAAAGGAAGAGAGGGAGGGAGAAAAUUGUCCCCAAGAAAAGGAAACUAUUGUCUGGUUCAAUCUUUCAUUUCUAUUCUCUACCCUGGCAAGAACGUUGGAGCUUACCAUCAUAAGUGACAGGAAUGAACAUUGGAGCUUACCAUCAUAAGUGACGGGAAUAGCAUUAUCUCCAAACCUGAGAUCCUUCCAAUGGGAAUUCUACAACUCCUGGGAGUUUAUGAUUCACACAUGUAGACAAUGUCUGUACCUAUACUCAGAGAUGUAGACUGGCCUCAAUAGAGUUCAUUGAGCUAAAACAAUACUAGGUAAACAAUGGAAUUUAUUUUCAAGACUGAACUCAGUUCUCAUCAGUUCAAGGUUAACCUCAACAAAAUGAAUCCAGUAAUGGAAAGAAAAUGAAAAAAAGAACAAACAAAACGAAAUGACUGCACUACGUAUUUAGGCCCAGCUGACAGAAUCUCAACACUGAAUGAUACUGAUAAAUAGGUUUCCUUGUGUAUCCAGUGUGAAGUCUUGGUUGUUAUUCGUUUUCCAACGAACAUUAAAGUCAUCUUUGGAUUCUCU
rnacentral:lncRNA from 1 species